CAGAUUGAACGCUGGCGGAAUGCUUUACACAUGCAAGUCGAACGGUAGAGGGGGCAACCCCUCGAGAGUGGCGAACGGGUGAGUAAUAUAUCGGAACGUGCCCAGUCGUGGGGGAUAACGUAGCGAAAGUUACGCUAAUACCGCAUACGAUCUACGGAUGAAAGCGGGGGAUCGCAAGACCUCGCGCGAUUGGAGCGGCCGAUAUCAGAUUAGGUAGUUGGUGGGGUAAAGGCUCACCAAGCCAACGAUCUGUAGCUGGUCUGAGAGGACGGCCAGCCACACUGGAACUGAGACACGGUCCAGACUCCUACGGGAGGCAGCAGUGGGGAAUUUUGGACAAUGGACGCAAGUCUGAUCCAGCCAUUCCGCGUGCAGGAUGAAGGCCCUCGGGUUGUAAACUGCUUUUGUACGGAACGAAAAGGUUUCUCUUAAUACGAGGAGCUCAUGACGGUACCGUAAGAAUAAGCACCGGCUAACUACGUGCCAGCAGCCGCGGUAAUACGUAGGGUGCAAGCGUUAAUCGGAAUUACUGGGCGUAAAGCGUGCGCAGGCGGUUAUGUAAGACAGAGGUGAAAUCCCCGGGCUCAACCUGGGAACUGCCUUUGUGACUGCAUAGCUAGAGUACGGUAGAGGGGGAUGGAAUUCCGCGUGUAGCAGUGAAAUGCGUAGAUAUGCGGAGGAACACCGAUGGCGAAGCAAUCCCCUGGACCUGUACUGACGCUCAUGCACGAAAGCGUGGGGAGCAAACAGGAUUAGAUACCCUGNNGUCCACGCCCUAAACGAUGUCAACUGGUUGUUGGGUCUUCACUGACUCNGUAACGAAGCUAACGCGUGAAGUUGACCGCCUGGGGAGUA
rnacentral:rRNA from 1 species